rnacentral:rRNA from 1 species
AUUGAACGCUGGCGGCAGGCUUAACACAUGCAAGUCGAGCGAGAGGCGGACGGGUGAGUAAUGUCUGGGAAACUGCCUGAUGGAGGGGGAUAACUACUGUAAACGGUAGCUAAUACCGCAUACCAUCAGAUGUGCUCUGAUUGGAUUAGCUAGUAGGUGGGGUAAUGGCUCACCUAGGCGACGAGCCCUAGCUGGUCUGAGAGGAUGACCAGCCACACUGGAACUGAGACACGGUCCAGACUCCUACGGUAGGAAGCAGUGGGGAAUAUUGCACAAUGGGCGAAAGCCUGAUGGAGCCAUGCCGCGUGUGUGAAGAAGGCCUUCGGGUUGUAAAGCUCUGUCAUCGAGGAGGCGUUACUCGCAGAAGAAGCACCGGCUAACUACGUGCCAGCAGCCGCGGUAAUUC